AUACGGAGGGGGUUAGCGUUGUUCGGAAUUACUGGGCGUAAAGCGUACGUAGGCGGAUCGGAAAGUAAGGGGUGAAAUCCCAGGGCUCAACCCUGGAACUGCCUCUUAAACUCCCGGUCUUGAGUUCGAGAGAGGUGAGUGGAAUUCCUAGUGUAGAGGUGAAAUUCGUAGAUAUUAGGAGGAACACCAGUGGCGAAGGCGGCUCACUGGCUCGAUACUGACGCUGAGGUACGAAAAUGUGGGGAGCAAACAGGAUUAGAAACCCCAGUAGUCC
rnacentral:rRNA from 1 species